ACAAAGAAUCAGUCACUCCCACACUCCACUAGUAGAGAGAACCAAGGACACUGUAUUCUGUACUGCUAAACUACUACUACUACUACUACAAAAUACCAUCUAAAAGUCUUUGUACUUGCUUGGAGUAUUAGCCUAACUAAAGCUGAUCUGCCACUUAAGGAUAAUCUCGGGACUCCUCCUUUGAAAUGACGUACCAGCAACAACAAAUACAGUGAAGAGGGAGACUACACACAGGACCUACUCUGCUCUGCGCUCCUCGGAUACACCGCAUACUGUCUAGAGUAUUCUGACUGUGGGAAAAACAAGACUUCGCAAAGAAUGGACCCGGCUGAAGAGUCGCUCAACCUCCUCAACAAGAUCUGGCUCAAGUUGCAGCACCUGCCCCAAGCCAGCCCCAUAGAACUGGGCGCAUUCUUCAUCCUGUUAACUUUUAUCUUGCUGGUUCUAGGCAUGAUGAUCUUCUCUUGCGUAACCUGCUGUUGUUGCCGCAAUGCCAGAACGAAAGGAUCAUCCAACAUUUGAGACGGAGCUGGACUCUGCUCCUGGACAUUUGAUAACCCAGUGACGGAAAACGGGACAGGUCGGAAUACUGGGCACGUUCUCCGGCUUUCCACAGCGCCCAUAGAUAUUUGACACGUGAGCGCAACGCCAGCGAAGUUUCUGCUUCUCUGGGUGUGUCGGCUCACGCUGCAGGGCUCUGGAUUUGGCAGGUGACAAAAGCAGUUGGUCUGCCAAGAACACCUGUCGGCCGGCAUUCCGCAAAGCAUAUCUGGGCUACCCCUGGAGAAGAUGACAUUGCCCAAUCUCUGUUUAGACUAUGAGUGGGUGACUUGGCUUGUAAGAUAAACUUUGUAAAGAUGUGGUUUACGAUGUUUUGCCUUGUUUAGUUAAAGGUGCACUGCGUAAGUUCACUGGUGUGAGCAAGACAUCCACUUGUCUCCGCAGAGAUGUCACUGCAUAACCUGGAAUAUUCCGCAGUAUGGCUUUAAACUCAUCUAUAGCCCUAUUCGCAUGGGAUAAGUACAAUCUGGGGACGUCUAGUAAUUUGCAAAUUACCUCCCUGCCUCAGCGUUACUUGCUGCACAUUCGCACGGGAUAAGCAAAGUCCGAAAAUUACUGAUAAUGAUGCAGAGAUUGAAAGAGAAAAGAACAUGGAAAGAAAACAAAGAGACAGAAAAGCCGCACAAUUUUAACAACAAACACAGAUGCAGAUUCGCACGAGACUAGUUCUAUCAAAGGAUGUCUCUGUUUGGUGAAAUACAGAACGUAAUUUAAGGCAGAAUGUUUACUUUACAAAUUACAGACAUGAAGCAUUCGCAUGGGAUUAUCAGGAAUCCUCCACAAUUAUUACAAAUCACCAAAGGUCCAUAGGUAAAACUAAAGGUUUAUCUUGUAUUCAUUCAAUUAUAGGUGAUUUUAUUUCUUGAAAGGCACUUUCCCUGAUUUUCAUUGUCUUAAAACUGUGAAAAAUAUCACUAGCUCAUUUUUAAAAGUUUGCAGUGGUCCAGAGUCAUUCCACACAGGAGCAGAGGAGCAACUACCAUGCUAACCACAGACUUCCUGAUACUGGGACAAUAAAACGCUUUAUAAUUAGAUGGAGACAGUACACAGCAGUCUCAUUUUGACCUCAAGAGCUGCUUAUACAAUACAUCUGUAGUAGAGCAUACAUGCAAGAAACAUAAAAAUACAGGGCCUUUAACUUUUCCUGUGGUGGAGUCCUUGUGGAGCGAGAUAAAUUUAAUGCUAUAUAGUGGAACUUUCCAGGCAAAGCAAUAACAUCUCCACAAAGACAAGCAGGUGCUCUAUUAGAAAAGUUACACAGUGCAGUUUUAAACUUGAAAAAAUAGGUAUAAACAGGGAACACAAAGGGAAUUUGCAUGUUAUGAAGGGUGAACUGUGUUAAAAAUGUACAUAUUAGUGGAAGAACCAGCUUUACUUCAAGGGUUUUACAUUCAAACUGAGUCACACGUGUGGAAUUGUACUUGGCAACGAGACUUUAACCCAGCCUUCAAUCAAAUGUGCAGUACAAGCGUUUCUUUGUGCCUCUAAACAAGGGAGAAUGUAUAUAAAUGGUGCCCUCUGCUGGACAGACUAUUGAAUGCACAUUAUAAAAGGGAAAUGUGUCAUAACGGUGCUGUUUUAUUAAGUAAAGCACUUGUUUAGUAGAAUUUAAAUUAAAAAAAUGUGUGUA